rnacentral:rRNA from 1 species
UCUUGGUCAUUUAGAGGAAGUAAAAGUCGUAACAAGGUUUCCGUAGGUGAACCUGCGGAAGGAUCAUUAUAGUAUGUUUCAGAGGCGACUGCUGCUGGCUCCUUUCCCGGAGCAUGUGCGCGUCCCUCGACUUUGUCCACAAUACACACCUGUGCACCUUGGUCGAAGCCCUUUUGGGCCUCGACCGCUUAACACUUCAGCCUGUUUUUAAUGCAUGUCUUCCGUCCUACGGGACGAUAUUUGAAAUACAACUUUCAACAACGGAUCUCUUGGCUUUCGCAUCGAUGAAGAACGCCGCGAACGUGCGAAACGUAAUGUGAAUUGCAGAAUUCAGUGAAUCAUCGAAUCUUUGAACGCAUCUUGCGCUCCUUGGUAUUCCGAGGAGCAUGCCUGUUUGAGUGUCGUGAAAUGCUCUCAACCUUUACCUCCUUUGGGGGGUCGGGUUGGAUUUGGACGCCUGCGGCGGGGGGGCCCCGACGCUCGUCUUGAAAUGCAUUAGCUGGUUCUGCUGCCCGGGCUCGGUUUUUGACCGACGGUGUGAUAAGAAAGACCCCUCUUAGCGCCGUUUGAAACCCGUGCGGUGGGGGACCAGCUUCCAACCGUCUUUGGACAAUCUUUCACUUCUGACCUCAAAUCAGGUAGGACUACCCGCUGAACUUAAGCAUAUCAAUA